UGACCGCUGGCGGUAGGCCUAACACAUGCACGUCGAACGGCAGCACAGUAAGAGCUUGCUCUUACGGGUGGCGAGUGGCGGACGGGUGAGGAAUACAUCGGAAUCUACUUUUUCGUGGGGGAUAACGUAGGGAAACUUACGCUAAUACCGCAUACGACCUACGGGUGAAAGCAGGGGAUCUUCGGACCUUGCGCGAUUGAAUGAGCCGAUGUCGGAUUAGCUAGUUGGCGGGGUAAAGGCCCACCAAGGCGACGAUCCGUAGCUGGUCUGAGAGGAUGAUCAGCCACACUGGAACUGAGACACGGUCCAGACUCCUACGGGAGGCAGCAGUGGGGAAUAUUGGACAAUGGGCGCAAGCCUGAUCCAGCCAUACCGCGUGGGUGAAGAAGGCCUUCGGGUUGUAAAGCCCUUUUGUUGGGAAAGAAAAGCAGCAGGUUAAUACCCCGCUGUUCUGACGGUACCCAAAGAAUAAGCACCGGCUAACUUCGUG
rnacentral:rRNA from 1 species